rnacentral:rRNA from 1 species
UACGUAGGGGGCAAGCGUUGUCCGGAAUCAUUGGGCGUAAAGAGCGUGUAGGCGGCUUGGUAAGUCCGCUGUGAAAGUCCAGGGCUCAACCCUGGAAUGCCGGUGGAAACUGUCAAGCUUGAGUCCGGAAGAGGCGAGUGGAAUUCCUGGUGUAGCGGUGAAAUGCGCAGAUAUCUGGAGGAACACCAAUGGCGAAGGCAGCUCGCUGGGACGGUACUGACGCUGAGACGCGAAAGCGUGGGGAGCAAACAGG